rnacentral:pre_miRNA from 1 species
UUUGUACUCCCUCCGUUCCAUAUUAAGUGAUUUUCUAUUACAUGUAUCUAGAUAUUUUUUAAACAUAGAUACGUCCAUAUUUGGACAAAUUCGAGUCACUUAAUAUGCGACGGAGGAAGUACUAU